UACGUAGGUGGCAAGCGUUGUCCGGAUUUAUUGGGUUUAAAGGGUGCGUAGGUGGUCAAUUAAGUCAGUGCUGAAAUAUCCCGGCUUAACCGGGAGGGUGGCAUUGAUACUGAUUGACUUGAGUGGAGUUGAGGUAGGCGGAAUUGACGGUGUAGCGGUGAAAUGCUUAGAUAUCGUCAAGAACACCGAUAGCGAAGGCAGCUUACCAAGCUCUAACUGACACUGAUGCACGAAAGUGUGGGGAUCAAACAGGAUUAGAUACCCCCGUAGUCC
rnacentral:rRNA from 1 species